CGCGCUACCAGAUUUUCCCCGAGCUGAGCUGCUGAGUAUUUGGGGUUUGCUAAGCUGCUGAUUAUUUGGUUUAGCUUAUUUACUUGAAAACAAAUCCGAGCCGCUUGUUGAAAUCAGAAGCUCUGCCACUGCCUCACGCUCUCUUGCUCGAUACUCAAUGGCGAUGCUCUGAAUUCCGAACUUCGUUUCAGCUUCCGAGAUGUGGUGGUUUUCAGGAGGUUUAGCGGCCUAUACAAAGCCAAUGCCAGAAUCCAAGCAUACCCUUUUGGCCACACGCACAAAAGAGCCUUAUCAGACUCUAAGAUCUUCAACAAUGGCGACGAUUCGGUGCUUCCCGUUCUGAUCGUCGGUGCAGGGCCUGUGGGUCUCGUUCUGUCCCUACUUCUAACAAAACUAGGGGUCAAAUGUUCGGUUGUGGAGAAGAGCAAAGCUUUCUCAAAUCAUCCACAGGCGCAUUUCAUCAACAAUCGAUCCAUGGAGGUGUUUCGCAAAUUGGAUGGCCUGGCAGAGGAGAUCCAGAGGCCUCAACCACCGGUAGAAUUAUGGAGAAAGUUCUUAUAUUGCACUUCCCUCCAAUUGACGUCAGGCCUACCAAGACUCGGUGAAUGUCCAUGGAUACCUUGGGUGCUGCCCCUUGCAUACAUUAUCAGGUGUGCAAUAUGCCUUUCCAAAUGACUUCAGGCAUACCAAGACUCGAUGAAAUGGCGACAUGCAUGCUAUUUCUGGUAUAAAAAAAAUUGCGCGUUGCGCACACUAUUCUUACUAACCCCCCCCCUAAUAUUAUUUCCUAGAUCCGCCAUUAGUGUAAAAAAAAAUUUGCACAUUGCACACACCACCAUUCUUACUGACCCCCCUAAUAUUAUUUCCUAGAUCCGCCACUACUAAUGGGAGACAUUCUAAUUAUUUAAAUAGUAUAAUACGAUGGUGAUAGGUCCACGUGUGCAAAAGUUUCGUACAUUCAUGUAAGUAGACUGUUUAAUGUAUGAAUAUAAUUUGGAUUUUCUAUUUUAGCUGUUUCAUUCUGGUUAAACUUUGUCAUCAGAUUUUGAGCAAGUUGUCAGCCCAGUCUCUGGCGCGCACUUCUCGCAGUGCAGACUGAUUAGGUUACUACGUAUUUAAGCAGCUUGAAAAUCUCAGCUUCAAGUUUUGUAUGUCUGAUGGGUUGGAAGGACUUAACCAUGAGCCCUUUCAGGAAAGGCAGUUGUUAAUGGGGCAUGAGUGUGUUUCAAUCAAAGAGAGUGAUGAUUUUGUUUCUGUGACUGCAUCUUUUAUCAAGGAUGGGAAGCCUAUGGAAAGGAAUAUCAGAUGUAAUAUCGUCGUUGGUACAGAUGGCGCAGGAAGUACUGUCCGUAAGCUGGCUGGAGUAAAUAUGAGGGUGAAAAGGACUUGCAGAAGCUUGUGAGCGUCCAUUCCUUGAGCAAAGAUCUUUUAUCUUCAAUACUGAAGCUAUAGGGGGUUCUUGUGGUUCAUGAUCUCGAGCAAGGGGAAUUUGUUUUACAGAUUCCAUUUUAUCCACCUCAGCAAAACCUUGAAGAUUUCAGUCGCCAGGUAUUUUCUUUGCGGAUAAGUAAUUUGAUGGAAAUUGUUCUGCUUGAUCUCAUGACUGACACUAAAUUUAGGGCAUUUUUUUAUUUUUAUGGCCAUUGGUGCCCUGGGAGAAUUACAUUGACGUUGCGGAAGUAAAAAGGUCAUCAUUGGUGCCCUGGGAGAAUUACGUUGACGUUGCGGAAGUAAAAAAGUCAUCAAAUUCAUCAUCCUAGUUCGACCGGAUGAUCAUGUUGCUUGGCGCCUGAAGUCAGGGGUUGUCCGUGACCCUGUAACGGAAAUGAGAAGGGUUUUCUCUGCUACGUUAGGCGUAAAACCACUUACUAAAGAUCAAGAAACUGAUGGUAUUAAUUUGUUAUUGAAAUAAAAGUGAUCUUGGUGUGCAGAUGUAACGUAUUAGGUUUGUCGUAAAAUGAGACAUUUCGUAACAGACUGUAUUCUCAUGUAUGUCACUUUGUAACCAAGUUAUGCUCUC